GGAUUAGAAACCCCGGUAGUCCACGCCGUAAACGAUGCAUACUCGCUGUCGGGUUCGCUACAGAACUCGGUGGCUUAGCUAACGCGGUAAGUAUGCCGCCUGGGGAUUACGGCCGCAAGGUUAAAACUCAAAGGAAUUGACGGGGACCCGCACAAGUGGUGGAGCAUGUCCAUUAAUUCGAAGAUACGCGAAGAACCUUACCUAGCCUUGACAUCCUGGUAGACUUUCCCUGAAAGGGGAGGGGCAUUUAGUUGGACCAGAGACAGGUGUUGCAUGGCUGUCGUCAGCUCGUGUCGUGAGAUGUUGGGUUAAGUCCCGCAACGAGCGCAACCCUCGACCUUAAUUGCCAGCAUUCAGUUGGGCACUUUAGGGUAACCGCCGCGGAUAACGCGGA
rnacentral:rRNA from 1 species